GCCUGGGUGGCUCAGUGGGUUAAGCGUCUGUCUUCAGCUCAGGUCAUGAUCCCAGGGUCCUGGGAUCGAGUCCCACAUCAGGCU
rfam:Ailuropoda melanoleuca scaffold521_160, whole genome shotgun sequence.